ACGUCAGGUGGUGGCGGCGGAAACUUGCAGGUCGCCCCCACCCCCAGCGCCGGCUCCCGCCGGCGGCCACUUCGGGGAAGGACCGCGCGGAGCCAGCGCCGGGGUCCCCGGGCGGUCGGAAUCGAGGCCCGGCGCGUUGCGCAGGCCAGGCCCGGCCCGGAGGCCCCUUGCCCGGCGCAGCCCCCGGCCGACCCCCGUGCGCCGCCGGCGGCCGCCAGCACGGCGCGGAGGUGGGCUAGCGGCGGCGGCGCACGAAAGGUCACCGCGGUGGCAUUCCUCUCCGCGCUGUUUACGUGACUUAAUGUACUCGCUGCGCCGCGGCCUGUUAUCUAGGCCACCCAAUGACCGACGAAAGAUUUUCCCUCCCUGCUUCUCCCGUGGCCGCUUUAAACCAAAUAAAUUUAGCUAUUAAGGGCCAA
rnacentral:lncRNA from 1 species